rnacentral:lncRNA from 1 species
CAGGUAAAGUGAUUAAUUACGAUGUACCUGUAUUGUAUUACCAAACAACAUAAGAAAGGCCAUAGCUAAAAACAACAGUGCCCAAAAUUCUGAAUCUUCUUCCAUUUCGUCUCUCUCGGCAGGAAUGUCUGGGUUCUUAGCGAAUACCUGCAAAGAAAGAAUUAACCAAGUAAUAUACCAAGUGGAGAAUAAACCAAUUACAAAAACUGAAACCAAUAAAUGAACUCCUAUAGAAAAAUGUGUUGAUCUUUUACUACAUAAAGCUCGCGAAUAAGACGAAUUACUACAUCUUUUGUAGCCUGCAUGGCAGGCGGUACGUAGGAAAUACCGCCUGCCGCAAAACUGGGUGUAAAUGAACUACCGCCCCUGAAGCAUCA